UACGGGAGGCAGCAGUGGGGAAUAUUGCGCAAUGGGCGGAAGCCUGACGCAGCGACGCCGCGUGGGGGAUGACGGCCUUCGGGUUGUAAACCUCUUUCAGCAGGGACGAAGUUGACGUGUACCUGUAGAAGAAGCGCCGGCUAACUACGUGCCAGCAGCCGCGGUAAUACGUAGGGCGCAAGCGUUGUCCGGAAUUAUUGGGCGUAAAGAGCUCGUAGGUGGCUUGUUGCGUCUGCCGUGAAAGCCCGUGGCUUAACUGCGGGUCUGCGGUGGAUACGGGCAGGCUAGAGGCUGGUAGGGGCAAGCGGAAUUCCUGGUGUAGCGGUGAAAUGCGCAGAUAUCAGGAGGAACACCGGUGGCGAAGGCGGCUUGCUGGGCCAGUUCUGACGCUGAGGAGCGAAAGCGUGGGGAGCGAACAGGAUUAGAUACCCUGGUAGUCCACGCUGUAAACGUUGGGCGCUAGGUGUGGGGAUCUUCCAUGGUCUCUGUGCCGUAGCUAACGCAUUAAGCGCCCCGCCUGGGGAGUACGGCCGCAAGGCUAAAACUCAAAGGAAUUGACGGGGA
rnacentral:rRNA from 1 species